rnacentral:rRNA from 1 species
CACGUAGGGCGCAAGCGUUGUCCGGAAUUAUUGGGCGUAAAGAGCUCGUAGGUGGUUUGUUACGUCUGCUGUGAAAACCUAGGGCUUAACCCUGGGCUUGCAGUGGAUACGGGCAGACUAGAGGUAGGUAGGGGAGAAUGGAAUUCCCGGUGUAGCGGUGAAAUGCGCAGAUAUCGGGAGGAACACCGGUGGCGAAGGCGGUUCUCUGGGCUGACACUGACGCUCAUGCACGAAAGCGUGGGGAGCAAACAGG